GAUGAACGCUGGCGGCGUGCCUAAUACAUGCAAGUCGAGCGAACGGACGAGAAGCUUGCUUCUCUGAUGUUAGCGGCGGACGGGUGAGUAACACGUGGAUAACCUACCUAUAAGACUGGGAUAACUUCGGGAAACCGGAGCUAAUACCGGAUAAUAUUUUGAACCGCAUGGUUCAAAAGUGAAAGACGGUCUUGCUGUCACUUAUAGAUGGAUCCGCGCUGCAUUAGCUAGUUGGUAAGGUAACGGCUUACCAAGGCAACGAUGCAUAGCCGACCUGAGAGGGUGAUCGGCCACACUGGAACUGAGACACGGUCCAGACUCCUACGGGAGGCAGCAGUAGGGAAUCUUCCGCAAUGGGCGAAAGCCUGACGGAGCAACGCCGCGUGAGUGAUGAAGGUCUUCGGAUCGUAAAACUCUGUUAUUAGGGAAGAACAUAUGUGUAAGUAACUGUGCACAUCUUGACGGUACCUAAUCAGAAAGCCACGGCUAACUACGUGCCAGCAGCCGCGGUAAUACGUAGGUGGCAAGCGUUAUCCGGAAUUAUUGGGCGUAAAGCGCGCGUAGGCGGUUUUUUAAGUCUGAUGUGAAAGCCCACGGCUCAACCGUGGAGGGUCAUUGGAAACUGGAAAACUUGAGUGCAGAAGAGGAAAGUGGAAUUCCAUGUGUAGCGGUGAAAUGCGCAGAGAUAUGGAGGAACACCAGUGGCGAAGGCGACUUUCUGGUCUGUAACUGACGCUGAUGUGCGAAAGCGUGGGGAUCAAACAGGAUUAGAUACCCUGGUAGUCCACGCCGUAAACGAUGAGUGCUAAGUGUUAGGGGGUUUCCGCCCCUUAGUGCUGCAGCUAACGCAUUAAGCACUCCGCCUGGGGAGUACGACCGCAAGGUUGAAACUCAAAGGAAUUGACGGGGACCCGCACAAGCGGUGGAGCAUGUGGUUUAAUUCGAAGCAACGCGAAGAACCUUACCAAAUCUUGACAUCCUUUGACAACUCUAGAGAUAGAGCUUUCCCCUUCGGGGGACAAAGUGACAGGUGGUGCAUGGUUGUCGUCAGCUCGUGUCGUGAGAUGUUGGGUUAAGUCCCGCAACGAGCGCAACCCUUAAGCUUAGUUGCCAUCAUUAAGUUGGGCACUCUAAGUUGACUGCCGGUGACAAACCGGAGGAAGGUGGGGAUGACGUCAAAUCAUCAUGCCCCUUAUGAUUUGGGCUACACACGUGCUACAAUGGACAAUACAAAGGGCAGCGAAACCGCGAGGUCAAGCAAAUCCCAUAAAGUUGUUCUCAGUUCGGAUUGUAGUCUGCAACUCGACUACAUGAAGCUGGAAUCGCUAGUAAUCGUAGAUCAGCAUGCUACGGUGAAUACGUUCCCGGGUCUUGUACACACCGCCCGUCACACCACGAGAGUUUGUAACACCCGAAGCCGGUGGAGUAACCUUUUAGGAGCUAGCCGUCGAAGGUGGGACAAAUGAUUGGGGUGAAGUCGUAACAAGGUAGCCGUAUCGGAAGG
rnacentral:rRNA from 1 species